AACAAACGCUGGCGGCGUGCCUAAUACAUGCAAGUCGAACGGGGAAAGCUUUCGGGUGAGUACUAGUGGCGCACGGGUGAGGAACGCGUGGAUAAUCUGCCUUAGAGUGGGGGAUAACUAGUCGAAAGAUUAGCUAAUACCGCAUAAGACCACAGGAGCUGCGGCUCAAGGGGUCAAAGGUUUUUCGCUCUAAGAUGAGUCCGCGUAAGAUUAGCUAGUUGGUGAGGUAACGGCUCACCAAGGCGACGAUCUUUAACUGGUCUGAGAGGAUGAUCAGUGACACUGGAACUGAGACACGGGCCAGACUCCUACGGGAGGCAGCAGUAGGGAAUAUUGCACAAUGGAGGAAACGCUGAUGCAGCGACGCCGCGUGAGUGAUGAAGGCCUUCGGGUCGUAAAGCUCUGUCGCAGGGGAAUAACACAAUGAAGGUACCCUGUAAGAAAGGAUCGGCUAACUUCGUGCCAGCCGCCGCGGUAAUAC
rnacentral:rRNA from 1 species